rnacentral:rRNA from 1 species
UGCCAGCCGCCGCGGUAAUACGGAGGGUGCAAACGUUGCUCGGAAUUACUGGGCGUAAAGCGCUCGUAGGCGGCUCUGUAAGUCGGAUGUGAAAGCCCUAGGCUUAACCAAGGAACGGCAUUCGAAACUACAGAGCUUGAGUAUGGGAGAGGGUUGUGGAAUUCCCGGUGUAGAGGUGAAAUUCGUAGAUAUCGGGAGGAACACCAGUGGCGAAGGCGACAACCUGGACCAAUACUGACGCUGAGGAGCGAAAGCGUGGGGAGCAAACAGGAUUAGAUA